rnacentral:misc_RNA from 1 species
GAUGAAGAACGCAGCGAAAUGCGAUAAGUAAUGUGAAUUGCAGAAUUCAGUGAAUCAUCGAAUCUUUGAACGCACAUUGCGCCCGCCAGUAUUCUGGCGGGCAUGCCUGUUCGAGCGUCAUUACAACCCUCAGGCCCCCGGGCCUGGCGUUGGGGAUCGGCGGAGCCCCCCGUGGGCACACGCCGUCCCCCAAAUGCAGUGGCGGUCCCGCCGCAGCUUCCAUCGCGUAGUAGCUAACACCUCGCGACUGGAGGGCGGCGCGGCCACGCCGUAAAACACCCAACUCUUCUGAAGUUGACCUCGAAUCAGGUAGGAAUACCCGCUGAACUUAAGCAUAUCAAUAAGCGGAGGA